ACCAUGCUGAUGUACAUGCCCUGUGCCUAAGGCCAUGGUGAUGCUCAUGGCCCAUGUUACCACUGAAGGCCAUGGGGAAUGUCCAUGGCCUGUGUUGCCACCUGAAACCAUUAUGAUGCAUGUAGCCCAGGCUGUAGCCAGAAACCAUGUGGACAUUCAUGAUCUGUGCUGCUGUUUACUAUAAAGGGCACAGAAACUUCUUUUUCAGUGUCAUGGAUGACUGCAGACUCACAGUUGAGAAGGAGAGACAUAGAAGCCUUCUGUGACAACCUCUUUCUCUAACCCUACCACUUAGGAAGAAAGAAAGAAAGAAAGAAAGAAAGAAAGAAAGAAAGAAAGAAAGAUCUAAAAAGGAAGAAAGAAAGAAGAAAGAGCAAAAAAGGAAGAAAGAACCAAAAAAAGAAAGAAUCUAUACAGAACGCCAUCUUAGGUGAAGUAUGGCUGAAGAACUACUGACAGCUGUUGGAGUGGAAAGAACUCUUGGCUGAGCAUCCGGAAAUUUCACCGCUGGUCCUGGCCUUGACAGUUAUUAAGUGUGAAUUUGGACAGGUCAUGUAACCUCUGUACAGAGUGAUUAUGAAGUUGAGAAUAAGAUGGGCUAUGGCUCUACACUACAAUUUAGCCAUUGCUGCAUCCAUGUUCAUAAGCAAAGAGGUGGAAACUCCAGUUGCUAGGUGACAUUCCCAGGAUCAGAGAACAGAGGGGUGGUGUUACCUCCUUCCAGCCUAGCAAGGCUGGCUGUGACCAUCCCAGCUUGA
rnacentral:lncRNA from 1 species